GGGGAGCGUGGGGGGCGUGGCCUCGGCGCGUCGCCCCGCCCCGCGCAGCCUGGACGUCCAGGGAACCUCCCUCCUUCCAAGGGCAGAGGAGCACUUGAUCUGUGGAGUCUGCGGCUCUGCUCCCUAAGCUUCCUACCCUGCACCCUCGGGGGGUGCAGAUUUCCCACCUGAAACGCUUGAUUUUGCUAGGAUUUGUAAGCUGCAAGGGAAAAACAAAGAGACACAGAAGAAAGGAAACAUCACAUAGAAGAAUAGAACAGAAAGAGAAGAACAAACAACACAAAGAAUAAUAAAAUGAAGAACUAAGCUUUGGCUCUCAGAAAAGUCCUCAUGUGUCUGUUUGUCUGUCCAGUAGUUCACCUACUCUGAAUCCUCUUCAGUUUCUCUGACCUGCUGAAGGCUUGCCAUUCAUCAGUACCCUAGGUGAGAUCCUGACAUGUUGGAGUCUCCAGUCACUUUCAACAAACUCUUCACUGUAUUCACUUGACUAGUUAACCGUGUCCAACUAUUGUUACAUUACCUGUCAACCUCAAGUGCUCAACUAAGACAAAGCAAAGUGCUUCGAGCACUAACUGGGGAGAAAGGAAAGACCAACAGAUACUUUUGGAGCUACAGCAGUGGCGGCUGUGUUGCUAGAUUCCUGAGCACCAUUACAUUCACCUUAAUGUUUAGGGGAGGAGGAAGAAGACGAAGGAAGGAGGAGGAGGAAGAGGAAGAAACCAGGACAAAAAGGAAAAACAGCUUCUACCUACUGAGUGGCACAAGACUGUUUCUUUUGCGGUCAAUUCUGAGUUCGAGGAAGUCAGUCAAUUAAUUGUUCCCAGAGGAAAAAAAAAUCCAAGCUACCCUCUCAUCCCCACCCCCAAAAUAGGUGGAACAAUUGAAACCAUGAAGAAUAUAGUACUUAAUAUUUAUGUGAAAGAUUUGAACCAUUCUUGGUUGCCUUUGAAAGCACACAGAAACAAUUCCUUUUAAGGAAAAUUGGACAAUAUCAACAGAGAAUCAUAGUUAAGCCAUUGUAGACAUUAUUUUUAAGACUCUGAGCUACUGUUUUUGCACCAGAAGAUACAUGCUCUUUGAGAAGAGAGCAGCUACAGU